AAACAUUCAUCUUUCAUCAAAGAAAAGACCCGACUUUUCUCCUCUCCUCUCCUCUCCCCUCUCCGCCUCCGUCCGACUGCGUCGCGGGAGAAUCCAAGCCAUGGCCGGGCACGCCAAGCUCCUCCUGUACAUUGUGGUGGUGGACGAGAGUGGCGCCUCCUUCCGCUACACCCGAUCCCUCCUCCACAGCACGCUCCAGCUCAUGGGAUGCAAGCCCAGCCGGCGGGUGUUCGAUGUGGUCCGCGGCGACCCCGCGGAGAUGGAGAUGCUCAUGGCCAUGUCCGGCGGCCAAGGGGGCAGAGGGGUGCAGCGUUACGAGCUGCCGGACGCCGCCACCAGCCCCAGGCAGUUCCAGUUCGAGCUCUACAAGCGCCGGACGACGGUGCUCAUCCCCAGGGACCUCUUCCUCCACCUCGUCUGCCAGGCCCUGGCCCUCUACAAGUACCUCGCCCCAAACCAGAGGAACCACCUCACCCUAGCCUGCAGGAUUCGUGAAAGAAAGGAGUCCGUCACGGUUCUUCUAUGCGGAACAAGUGGUUGCGGCAAGUCCACCCUUUCUACUUUGCUGGGGAGCAGGUUAGGGAUCACCACUGUAGUUUCCACAGAUUCCAUUCGCCACAUGAUGCGGAGCUUUGUUGACGAGAAGGAAAACCCCCUUCUCUGGGCAUCCACUUAUCAUGCAGGUGAAUGCCUCGACCCGGUGGCUGUUUCUGAAGCAAAAGCCAGGCGGAAAGCAAAGAAACGCUCGGGCGUCUCAAGCAACUCAGGUAUGGAUUAUGAGGGCAGCGGAGACAAGGUUGAGGGAAAACCAAUUGGGAAGAAACAAAUGGCUAUAGAAGGUUAUAAGGCACAGAGUGAGAUGGUCAUCGACAGUCUGGAUCGACUUAUCACCGCGUGGGAAGAUCGCAAAGAAUCGGUCGUUGUUGAGGGUGUUCACUUGAGCCUUAAUUUUGUGAUGGGCUUAAUGAAGAAACAUCCAUCAAUAAUUCCUUUUAUGAUCUACAUAUCCAAUGAGGGCAAGCACACUGAGAGGUUUGCCGUACGUGCAAAGUACAUGACGCUUGACCCAGCCAAAAAUAAGUAUGUCAAAUACAUCAACAACAUUAGAACCAUCCAAGAGUACCUCUGUAGCCGAGCUGACAAAUACCUAGUUCCCAAGGUGAACAACACAAACGUUGACCGGAGCGUGGCUUCCAUCCAUGCCACCGUCUUUAGCUGCCUCCGCAGGCGAGCUACCGGAGAGCAGUUGUAUAACGCUGACACAAACACAGCGGCGGCUGUAAAUGAAGAGUACAAAAACCAAUGUGUUGCCAACUCCAUGAGUUCCAAGGGGAUGUUCAAAUUAAUCCAGCGCCUAGGAUCCUCAAGGAAGCUCAUGGCCAUCGUUGAUGUGGAUGGAUCCGUUUCAAAGGCUUGGCCGGUUGAGUCAGGUGAUGGGGAUGGGAAAUGUGGUUCCCAAGGUGGCGGAGACCAGAAAUCUCUAGGAAACCCAAUAUAUGGACCUCUGAAUAUUGGAAGGGCGGAGUCGGUGAAUCUCCAGUUUGGCUCCUUUGGAAUAAGUGCAUGGCCUACCGACACAGGCUGUACAAGUCAAGGUGGAAGUGUCGACGGCUCGUGGAUCAACGGUAAUGAAGGCAGUAGCAGCAGCCAUGUUGCAUCUUCAUCCGGCGGCUCCCCUAAGAAGGCCGAUGGACAUCAUAAAGAGAUUAAAGAGUCAGCAGCAGCAUCUGGCAGUGACGAUGACGACGAAGAAGAAGCUGAUGUUCCACCUAAUUCAGGGAGUGAUGAGGACCUAAGCGAAGAAGAUCACGACGAAAACCAUGAUGAGAUGGAAGGGUCUGUGGACGAGGACUGCAACAGGUCCGACGAGGAAUACGACGACCUGGCCAUGCGGGACAGUAUGGAGAAUGGUUAUCUGAGCGACGACGGCAUCAUGGUGCACACCGGCCUAAGCAAAUGCCUGAGCAACAGGUUUCCGGACGGCAGCCAGCAUAAUAACCGCGGCACGCCGAGGAAACACCUAGAGUCUCUGCGAAGCCUGUCGAAGGUUGAUACCAGCACACAUGUUCCUGACACGGCGCGCUCUUGUGCUGCCGCUGCCGCUACCCCUGGUGGCAAGAGAAACACGGCUAGGAAGUGGAGGCGGUCCCUGAGCGAAAAGAUCUGUUCGCGGCCGCGGAGCUGCCCCUCUCUCGCGGAAGUGGCGGCCAAGCCCAAGGGCUCAGCUGCUGUUCCAGUGGUUCCUGAGUCUUAAAGGGUCCUGAGAGGUAGGGAAGGCCUAUAUCUAUAUGGUUGAUGUAAUAAUAAGAGAAUAAUAACCAGGGAAGGGAAGGGAGAGCAGCUGCUGCAUUGCAUUGCAUUGCAUGAAGGAAGUAUAAUAUGUGCAUGCAUGAUGUUUGUUUGUUGGGAGGCUGCAAAGGGAUGACAGAUGAAUGAAUAAUGCAAGUCCCUCUAACCGGUCGGUUAACUUGCUGUAGUAGCAUUUUCUUGUUUCUUUCUUUCUUGCUGUUUUGGUCUGGAAUUUAGAGUCUUUGUGUGUGUGUGUGUGUGUGUGUGUGUGUGUGUGUGUGUGUGGAACCUCCAAAUAAACAAACAAACAAACAUGUUGUAGCAAUUCAGUAGAGGCUGAUAGGAAUUGUAGUAAUUCAGUAGAUAGGAAACAUAUAUAUGUUGCUACUGAUCAUGGAUGGUGUUGCUGUGACUGAUUGAAUGGAUGUAUUGAUAACACAAGAAAUCCAUUCCAUUCAUAUUCUUGUUGUGU
rnacentral:rRNA from 1 species